rnacentral:rRNA from 1 species
UACAGAGGGGCAAGCGUUAUUCGGAAUUAUUGGGCGUAAAGAGCUCGUGAGGCGGUGUGUCACGAUCGGCCCGUUGGAAAACCUGCAGACUUAACUGUGGGCGUGCGGUCGAGUACGGGGCAUCACUGGAGUUCGGCAGGGGAGACUGGAAUUCCUGGUGUAGCGGUGAAAUGACGCAGACUAGUCAGGAGGAACACCGGUGGCGAAGGCAAUCCCCAUGGGCCCUGCAACUGACGCCUCAUGACACGAAAGCGUGGGGAGCAAACAGG